GCCUGUGCAGAAGGCUGGGGCUGACGCCGCGCCAAGAGUGGAGGGCUCUGCGGGCUCCAGAGCCUCUCGCCGGGAAGCUGCUCCCCAGGCACCCACCCACGCGCACACGGCCCUCAGGAGCCCUGGCGGAGGGCGGGCUGGGUGUGCACAUGCGUGUGUGUGUGUCCAAGAGUGUGCGCGGAAACGCUAAGUGACUUGUACAAGCUCAUCCUGCAGGUGGGCCUCCAUGCUACCCUCCAACCCGACUCCAGGACUCUCAUUGGAGGAAGGGCAGUCCCAUCCUUUCCUGGGUUCCACUGUAGCAUUCCCUGGGGAGCUCCGCCCGCCACUGGCACGCCGGGGACAACAGGGGCUCGCCAUAGCCAGGCUAGGGACCAUCCUAGUAUCAUCUACUUCUGCCUCUUUCCUGAGGACAGUGGUGGGUCGGGGGAUGAUGUUGGGGGCUCGGGACGGCGGGCAGGAGUUCUUAGCACUGCUCUCAGCUUUGACACUGGCCUUGUGAUGACUUCAGUCUCAGAUUCCCCAACUGUCAAGUGGGGACGACAAUCCAAAGCUGUUGUGAGGACCCCAUGGGUCUUGCACAAGAAAUUACCCAGCAAAGGCUGCCCCUCGGGAUAUGAAGAUGGAAGAAGCUCCUGUCUUCUCACCCCUGUCUUGGCAGGGCCGGGGGAGAGCUGAGCCCGAGGAGGGACUGAGCCCAAGGAAGGACUUCCUCUCCUGGCCCUGAGGGUGGUUGGACCCACAGCUGCAGAUGAAGUUCUUGGCCACACAGAAAAUUGGGGCUGACCCCCACCCGUGCAGGCCCCAGGUUGGAAGUGGGCCACAUACAUGGGAACUGUCCACUGAAGUACAGGUGACCUCAGAGGAGGACCAAGGUGAUCCGGCUGGGGCAAGGACAGCAUCUGUAGCCCGCGUGUCCACAGGGAGCAUCUGAGUCCUGGAGAAGUGUGGUGGUUUCUGGGCCGGGAAAGUAGGGCUAGGGUGGAGAGUGUGGGUGUGGGGGAGGAGGAUGCCGUAAACCCUGCCCUGCCCUGCCCUGGGGGUCUCACUCACAGGCACAGAGCUGGACAGCAUUUUCACUAACGUAAUCUUUCUACUUGCCUGGAAGAAUCUGAGGAAGGUUAUCUGAGCCUAGUCUCACCAGAUGCCACGCAAUUCAGUAUGGCCUUGCUGAGGGUUCUCUCCAUGGCCCCCAGCCUGUGAGGGACACACAAUAUUUACUAACUCACUGGUGGCUGAGUCAUCAUCCACUCGUUCAUUUAUUCCACAAAGACGGCUCUGAUCACACCCGCGGCAAGUGGCCGGCACUCCCUGGAGCUCCAGGCAUCUUGUCUCUCGCAUGCACCAGGCUCUCUGCAGCAGAUGCUCUUGGGUGUUCCUGUGGGCAGGGCACACCCCGUCCUCCACACAGCCCAGCUCCCAGCUCGGUGCCUGACCUAGGCCAGCCCUUGGUGAAGAGCAGGGAAACGGACGGCAGACAUGGGGGCAGGCAUGGGGCGCAGAGGGGACCCCACCUGCCUCCCACAAGCUGCCCGUAGCUGGAGGGCUGUUCAUAAAUAAUUCGAGCUCAGGUGUGAGGGGUGUAUCGCUUCCCUCAUCCCAGUGGGGCUGCAACACACAAGGGUGAAACUGACUUCAGCGACAGGAGCCCGGGGUGGGGGAGGGCCGGAUGUCCUGAGUCCCGGGGUCACAGAUGUCUCGGAUGGUGGGAUAUUCUCAGAGCCCUCAAGCCACGUGGAAAACACAUCCUGAGCCUUUCCAGCAGGAAGAGCAGGUGAAGAAGGUUGGAGAACCUAGAUGCCAGAUUGAGGCUUAGCUCUGUUCUCUGCUGGCAACUGGCAAGCCGUUUAAUGUCUCUGAGCCUCAGUUUCCCAUUUGUAAAAUGGGAACCAUGGCAGUGCCUACCCCUCAGGUUGCUGUGAAGACUAAACGAGAUGAUAUAGGUAAAGGGGACGGAACAGGGCCUGGUGUAUAGUAGAUAAGUAUUUGUUAUUUUUAGCAUUUAUUUCUUCAUUCUUUCCUUCCCACAAGUGUUUGUCAAGCACAAACUAUGUGCUAGGCCCUGGGGAUGUAGCUGAAAGUAAGGAUCCCAGUGCCUUGGAGCAUAUUGGUUCCAGCCCAAGAUACCUACUGCAGCAGCUGCUCUGUGGGUGACGUGAGUUCCAGGGCAUGAGCCUGAUUUUUAAAUUGCAAAGUAAUAAUGAUGAUACCAAAUCUGGGGCCAGGAUGGGAAGCAGGUAUCCUUCUCCCCAAAGGCCUCCCGGCAGCUGGCUGAGAGACACAUUCUAUGUGGGAGGCAGGAGGCAGGAGCCCCAAGUGUUGGAGCCGUGGGUCCCCUGAAUGCAGAGUGAGAUCACAUCUCCCCAGUCCUCGCCACUGCCACACCCUGGUUCAGAGGUCCCUCGGGGCACCCGGAAGCUGGCCCUUCGUCCCAGCCUGGGCUGGGGCUGACUCUCAGAGCUGCGGGUCCUCACGUGGAAGAUGGACAUGAGACUCGUGUUCUGACCGAAAGAGUUGCUGUCAGGGUCCGAGGAACUUGCGGGAAGUGACUGUAUCAAUAUAACCACACUGUCACAGUGGCUCAUUUUUGUCGUAAUGAUUAAGAAUGCUGUUGCUCUGAUUUGGUAGUUAACUGUCACUCCGAGGUUCUCGAAAAGACAGUAAAAACAAGCCAGUCAGAGUGACAUUCCUUCAUUCACUCAAAAAUAUUGGUUGACUACCUACAGUGUGUCAGG
rnacentral:lncRNA from 10 species